ACGGGUGAGUAAUGCAUCGGAACGUACCCAGUCGUGGGGGAUAACGUAGCGAAAGUUACGCUAAUACCGCAUACGAUCUGAGGAUGAAAGCGGGGGACCUUCGGGCCUCGCGCGAUUGGAGCGGCCGAUGUCGGAUUAGCUAGUUGGUGAGGUAAGAGCUCACCAAGGCGACGAUCCGUAGCUGGUCUGAGAGGACGACCAGCCACACUGGGACUGAGACACGGCCCAGACUCCUACGGGAGGCAGCAGUGGGGAAUUUUGGACAAUGGGCGAAAGCCUGAUCCAGCCAUGCCGCGUGAGUGAAGAAGGCCUUCGGGUUGUAAAGCUCUUUCGGACGGAAAGAAAUCGCAUGGAUAAAUAGUCUGUGUGGAUGACGGUACCGUAAGAAGAAGCACCGGCUAACUACGUGCCAGCAGCCGCGGUAAUACGUAGGGUGCGAGCGUUAAUCGGAAUUACUGGGCGUAAAGCGUGCGCAGGCGGUUGCAUAAGACAGAUGUGAAAUCCCCGGGCUCAACCUGGGAACUGCGUUUGUGACUGUGCGACUGGAGUACGGUAGAGGGGGGUGGAAUUCCUGGUGUAGCAGUGAAAUGCGUAG
rnacentral:rRNA from 1 species